rnacentral:rRNA from 1 species
UACGUAGGGCGCAAGCGUUGUUCGGAUUCAUUGGGCGUAAAGGGUGCGUAGGCGGCGCGGUAAGUCGGGUGUGAAAUCUCGGGGCUUAACUCCGAAACUGCAUUCGAUACUGCCGUGCUUGAGGACUGGAGAGGAGACUGGAAUUUACGGUGUAGCGGUGAAAUGCGUAGAUAUCGUAAGGAAGACCAGUGGCGAAGGCGGGUCUCUGGACAGUUCCUGACGCUGAGGUACGAAGGCAUGGGUAUCGAUCGGG